rnacentral:rRNA from 1 species
GACGUAGGAGGCGAGCGUUGUCCGGAUUCAUUGGGCGUAAAGAGCGCGCAGGCGGCUUGGUAAGUCGGAUGUGAAAUCCCGAGGCUCAACCUCGGGUCUGCAUCCGAUACUGCCCGGCUAGAGGUAGGUAGGGGAGAUCGGAAUUCCUGGUGUAGCGGUGAAAUGCGCAGAUAUCAAGAGGAACACCUGAGGUGAAGACGGGUUGCUGGGCCGACACUGACGCUGAGGCGCGAAAGCCAGGGGAGCGAACGGG